CAGUCGCCGCGGUAAUACGGAGGGUGCAAGCGUUAAUCGGAAUUACUGGGCGUAAAGCGCACGCAGGCGGUCUGACAAGUCAGAUGUGAAAUCCCCGGGCUUAACCUGGGAACUGCAUUUGAAACUGUCAGGCUGGAGUCUUGUAGAGGGGGGUGGAAUUCCAGGUGUAGCGGUGAAAUGCGUAGAGAUCUGGAGGAAUACCGGUGGCGAAGGCGGCCCCCUGGACAAAGACUGACGCUCAGGUGCGAAAGCGUGGGGAGCAAACAGGAUUAGAACCCCUGUAGUCCCUGUCUCUUAUACA
rnacentral:rRNA from 1 species